rnacentral:rRNA from 1 species
UGAAACCGACUAGAGGCAAACGGAGAGGGCCCUAUGGUCCGCCCGUCGGAUUCAGUCCGCCUGCGCGGCGGCGGCGCCGGUGGUGCAUCCCUCGCGGGAGCGUCCCGGCGCCNCGCACGCCGUGCGGCGACCGUACUUUCCGCGGGCGGAGGGCGACGACGGGUUUCGCGGCGGCGAGAAACUCGCGGGCAAGGUAACCUCCGUUUCUGGCGCAGGAGGAUACAGACNCGGUGAGGGCCGGCCCGCCGGCGGACCGAGGAAGACCGUCGGACCGUCCGUCGUGUGCACGCGUUCGACUCGGGGGGACUGGUUCCAGUCCCCCCGGACCGCGCGCGCGCACCGGCGGGACGCCCCGGCGCGGCGCUCGGCGUCGGUGGUGAAACGGCCGGCAACCUGUCCGACCCGUCUUGAAACACGGACCAAGGAGUCUAACAUGCGCGCGAGUCGCUCGGCGCUACGAAACCCGAAGGCGCAAUGAAAGUGAAGGCCCGGCCCCCGUCCGGCUUGGGUGGGAUCCGGGCGGUCUCGGCCGUUCGGCCACCACCGGCCCGUCUCGAUCGCCGCGUCGAUGAGGCGGAGCAAGAGCGUACACGUUGGGACCCGAAAGAUGGUGAACUAUGCCCGAGUAGGGCGAAGCCAGAGGAAACUCUGGUGGAGGUACGUAGCGAUUCUGACGUGCAAAUCGAUCGUCAAACGUGGGUAUAGGGGCGAAAGACUAAUCGAACCAUUUAGUAGCUGGUUCCUGUCGAAGUUUCCCUCAGGAUAGCUGGCGCUCGUCAUGCGACUCGCUCGAUGGGU